rnacentral:rRNA from 1 species
GAUGAACGCUGGCGGCGUGCCUAAUACAUGCAAGUCGAGCGAACAGAUGAGGAGCUUGCUCCUCUGACGUUAGCGGCGGACGGCUGAGUAACACGUGGAUAACCUACCUAUAAGACUGGGAUAACUUCGGGAAACCGGAGCUAAUACCGGAUAAUAUAUUGAACCGCAUGGUUCAAUAGUGAAAGACGGUUUUGCUGUCACUUAUAGAUGGAUCCGCGCCGCAUUAGCUAGUUGGUAAGGUAACGGCUUACCAAGGCAACGAUGCGUAGCCGACCUGAGAGGGUGAUCGGCCACACUGGAACUGAGACACGGUCCAGACUCCUACGGGAGGCAGCAGUAGGGAAUCCUCCGCAAUGGGCGAAAGCCUGACGGAGCAACGCCGCGUGAGUGAUGAAGGUCUUCGGAUCGUAAAACUCUGUUAUUAGGGAAGAACAAAUGUGUAAGUAACUAUGCACGUCUUGACGGUACCUAAUCAGAAAGCCACGGCUAACUACGUG